UACGUAGGGUGCAAGCGUUGUCCGGAUUUAUUGGGCGUAAAGAGCUCGUAGGCGGUUUGUCGCGUCUGCUGUGAAAACUGGAGGCUCAACCUCCAGCCUGCAGUGGGUACGGGCAGACUAGAGUGCGGGUAGGGGAGAUUGGAAUUCCUGGUGUAGCGGUGGAAUGCGCAGAUAUCAGGAGGAACACCGAUGGCGAAGGCAGAUCUCUGGGCCGUAACCGACGCUGAGGAGACGAAAGCAUGGGGAGCGAACAGG
rnacentral:rRNA from 1 species